rnacentral:rRNA from 1 species
AUAGCGUAUAUUAAAGUUGUUGCAGUUAAAAAGCUCGUAGUUGAAUUUCGGAAUUGAUGCAUCGGUCGUGCCUUAAGGGGCAUGAACUGGUGUAGCCAAUUUCUCACCUUCUGGUGAAUUGUUGAUGUUCUUAAUGGGUGUCUCAAUGAACUAGAAUUUUUUACUUUGAAAAAAUUAGAGUGUUUAAAGCAGGCAUUAAUUUGCUUGAAUACAUUAGCAUGGAAUAAUGAAAUAGGACAGUGGUUCCGUUUUGUUGGUUUCUAGAGUCGCCGUAAUGAUUAAUAGGGAUAGUUGGGGGCAUUGGUAUUGAGUCGCUAGAGGUGAAAUUCUUGGAUUGACUCAAGACCAACUAUUG